UACGGGGGAUGCAAGCGUUAUCCGGAAUUAUUGGGCGUAAAGGGUCCUGAGGCGGCUAGCCAAGUCUAUUGUGAAAUAUCAGGGCUUAACCCUGAACAUGCGGUGGAAACUAGAAAGCUUGAGUACAGUAGGGGCGGAGGGAAUUUCCGGUGGAGCGGUGAAAUGCAUAGAUAUCGGGAAGAACACCAACGGCGAAAGCACUCCGCUGGGCUGAUACUGACACUGACAGACGAAAGCUAGGGUAGCGAAAGGG
rnacentral:rRNA from 1 species